AAUUUCUUCUUUUGUUUAUACGUUCAUUGUACCACAUCAAAGCAUUACAAUGUUGACACAAAUAAAUUGCAUCGCCAUAGUCUUCAUAACCUGUCAAAUAGUAACAACAUUUUGAACUGGACUAAAUAUACUGUGAACCGUAAAGAUGUUGUAAAAAUUGCAUAAACAGUAUAGCUUACAUAUUUGGCUAAUAUCUGAUAGAGUGUUUCCUUGAACUUGUUGAGUAUUUGAGCUGCUACAUCUGGAUGGACCUGAGUAAUUAAUAAUGAAAGGCUCAUUUGACUGAGUAUAUCUGGACGACGCAAAAGAGGAGGAUUCUGGCUAUUUAUUUUGGGAGCUUCGUAAGGAUGCCUUUGAUGCACAUGAGUUGGAUCAUUCUCUGCAAUUGUCAUACCAUGUCAGUAAAACUAAAGAAGAUAUGUGAAAUAUAUGGAGAACUAUAUUUGUACCAUCACUAUAGAUUUGCUUUCUCUUUCUGGUGUCUACGUAUGCCAACUCCUUCCCUUUCCUUUUGUUUGGAUUGUCACUUUCCAUUUCCACAGCCUUGGUACA